ensembl:lncRNA
CCAGUACGCUCAUCAAUCGAUUCCACCAUGUAAAUAUAAUGUCUUCGAAACUUCUUGUGCAAAUUUCACUAUAACAACGCGAAAAAAUACACAUAUGUAAACACAUUUUUCAAUAUGGUCAUGUUUUAAAUUUACAAAGAACAAGUGCAUCAUUAUAUGAAGUUGACCGCCAGCUCAGCUCUACCUCCACAGUCAACAGUGCUUGUUACCAGCAAGAUGGCUUCAACACUAAAGAACCAUUAUUUGGACAGCGCAUAGAUGAUUUAUGUGAGCGCUGGUGUGCCAUCCUGAACAAAUGCUCUAUUGAUUUAAUGACAUUAAUUCUUGACCAGUUGAAACAUGAUUUUAUUGAAAUGGAUAACACGAUUGAAGACAAACGCAUAUUCUACAAAUAGCUGUUAAUGAUGAUGGCAUAUUCAAUGAACUGAUGAAAACUAACCAAGCGCUCCAGGAC